GCGAGGGUGGCGGAAUUUGGUAGACGCACUGGAUUUAGGUUCCAGCGCCGAAAGGUGUAAGGGUUCGAGUCCCUUCUCUCGCACCA
rnacentral:tRNA from 1 species